rnacentral:rRNA from 1 species
GAUGAACGCUAGCUACAGGCCUAAUACAUGCAAGUCGAGGGACGGACGCACGGGUGACUAACAGGUAACCUACCUGCCCUUUACUCGUGGAUAGCCUUUCGAAAGAAAGAUUAAUACCCAUUAUAUAGGAGGGGGAUGCGUUCCAUUAGGUGGUUGGUGAGGUAACGACUCACAACGCCUUCGAUGGAUAGGGGUUCUGAGAGGAGGGUCCCCCAGAUUGGAACUGAGACCCGGUCCAAACUCGUAGGCGGGGGAGGGGUGAGGAAUAUUGGUCAAUGGGCCCUAGCCUGAACCAGCCAAGUAGUGUGAAAGAGUAAGGGUUAUGGGUCUUAUACUUUUUUUAUAUAAGAAUAGGUAUUAUAUGAAUAAGGAUCGGCUAACUCCGUGCCAGCAGCCGCGGUAAUAC